UGGCCACUGGCCCUCUCCAUCUUUCACAAGGCAGGAGGGAUGGGAAGUGCUGGCAGGUGUUGGCAUCCUGCAGAUGCUGGUUAUCUUCCAGACCAGCUUCUCAGGUAUUCUCUCUUUCCAUCCUGACAAUGACCCUGUGAAGUGGGAACGGUUACGCUGGUUUACAAAUGAGGACACGAAACCUCGCAAAGCUCCUUUUUCUUCCCUGAGGUCACCUGGCUAGUGAGGGUCGCAGAUGGGGAUUCAACCCAAAGACCAGGUCACAGAAAAGUGCAUCCUUCUUCCUUCUGGACCGACUUGCACGAAAGUUACUUCACCCAGUUGUUGACCUGGCCGAGGAGGGACAGGCGCUGUCAGACCCCAGGAGGAAUGUUAGGUGCCCUCUGGUGCCCAUAUCCCUGUGAAGACCCGGCCAGUUUCCAGGCUGGGGAGUGGACAGGGGGACACAGUGCUCUGUGGGUCAAGGGCACCGUGUGGAGAGAGGAACACGAGAGGGGGAUUGGGGCAACCGUGUUCCUCCCACAAAUGGGCAACUGAGUCACAUCAUAGGAACUCUGUUCCCUGCCAAACAGGUCUCUCUCUCUCUCUCUCUUUUUUCUGUUUCUGUGUAUUUUAAAUGCAUUUAAAUGAAGCGAUUAUUUAACGAUUUUUGUGGGUUUCCUGGUAUUUGUUUUGGGAUUUGUUUUUGUUUUGUUUUGUUUUUUAUUUUGUUUUUUGGUUGACAGUGUUGAAUCAUCGAAAUAUCGUAAAGCAUUUUUCUGGCUCACUAAUUGAUACAGUCCUGCCUAAUUGCCUGCUGCUUCGUUUCUUCUCUGUGAAAAUGACACAGGUUUUCUGGGUUUUUGCUUCCAAAAAACAAACGGUGCUGCUUCACUACCCCGCCCCCAAUCUGUGCCUCCCUUGGGAUGGCGGCACACACCACAGAUUCCGCAGAUCACUGGUCCUGGCAGGGGUGGGAGGAGCUGGGCAGGAUGGGGAAGGGAGGAGCCACAGGGGUGCCAAGAGAGACCCCACAUUCCCGAGGCCCCCUCCCUAGCACCCCUGCCUGCAAACACCUGACAAUCUACCAACAGCCUCAGCAGGUGUAUGCCCUGAGUUACCAAGGAUUUCUGAAGCUGGUGGAAGCUCGGAGGCCCUGUCUGUGGCCAUGGAGACCCCAUAGAGCCCCUGCCUGUAGCCCUAUUUCUCCAGCAAGAGACUGCAGCCUUAACCAGCUGGCCUCGCCCAUCCACAGAACUGUGCUCCACGGGCACCUGCAGCAGAACCUCUCCAAAACCAGAGGCUGGUCCAGAGCCAACAUUAUGAUCCUGGUCUCCUGUAUUACAAAAGGGAAAUACUAAGGCCCUAAUGAGAGGAAAGUGGAGUCCGAGGUCCCAGUGUGAGUCAACAGCAGAGCAGAGACCAGACCCAGGAACCACACUGCUAGGCCGGUGCUAUGAAAAAUCCAGACUCAGGCAAAAGAAAGCUCAACAUCCUGAUGUCCCUCUGUAGACGGGAGACGCCUGUGGAAAGGGAGAGGGUCAGCUGACACACCCUCAACAUCCUGAUGUCGCUCUAUAGACAGGAGACGCCUGUGGAAAUGGAGAGGGUCAGCUGGUAGACCUGGUUUGUCAAGAGUACUUGUGAAAAGGGUCGGGGUCUUGGUUGACUGGAAGGGUCUGAGUCCACCCUGUGAUUUACCUGCUACAAAGUCACUCAACAAAUGUGGCAGCCAAGGGUUCACCCACUAGCUAAUGUGACACAUGUAUGUCACACGUGUGUGUCACACACACACACACACACUUGUACAUUUAGCUUAAUACACUUUUUUUUUAAAGACUUUAUUUUUUCCUUUUUCUCCCCAACACCCCCCAGUACAUAGUUGUAUAUUCUUCGUUGUGGGUCCUUCUAGUUGUGGCAUGUGGGAUGCUGCCCCAGCGUGGUUUGAUGAGCAGUGCCAUGUCCGCGCCCAGGAUUCCAACCAACGAAACACUGGGCCGCCUGCAGCGGAGCGCACGAAUUUAACCACUCGGCCACGGGGCCAGCCCCAGGCUUAAUAAAUUUUGAUGCCAGAGUAAGGGAGAUGUCCGUCCUUCCUGACCAGACCCCAUGCAGUGAGUUGUAUUCACUUUAAGAGGAAAGCUGACAAACUAGAGCAUUCUCCAAGAAAAGCACCCAAGAAGUCAAGCUAACUCAAAAUAACAAUGUGAGGAGCUGUGUUUCAAAGCCCAGGAGAAGCUUAGUUUACAGAAGAGAAGACUCAACGCAUACUGCAUCUGACCCCAAAUUGCUGAAAAAUAAUGUGAAAAGGAGAAUAGAAUCAUUAUGGGUCAUUUUAGGGAGCAAAGCUGGGUCUGAACCCAGACACCAGCAAGUCCACCCGUCAUCCUCCAUCCCCUGAGACCCACUCUGAGAAGGCACCCUCCUUCCAUCACUCUAGUCCCAGAGUUUUCCAAAACUCAGAUCUGACCAGACAGCACCCCUUCGGUGGGUCUGAGAAACUGUCACAGCCAAGGGGAGCCUAAGGCUACACGACAACUAAAUGUAAUAUGGCAUCUCCGAUGGGACCCUGCAACAGAAAAACAACGUUAGGUAAAAACUCAGGGAGCCUGAAUAAAGUAUGGACUUUAGUUAAUAACAGUGUAUCAACAUGGGUGCAUUCAUUGUGACAUACAUACCGUACUGGUGUAAGAUGUUAAUAAUAGGGGAAACUGGGUGUGGGGUACACAGGAAUUCUCUGUUCUAUCUUGGCAAUUUUUCUGUAAAUCUAAAAACUAUUUUAAAAUAAAAAGUUAUUACAUUAAAAAGAAUCUAAUGGGGGCCCGGCCUGGUGGCACAGCAGUUAAGUUCGCACGUUCUGCUUCAGCGGCCCAGGGUUCACCAGUUCAGAUCCCAGGUGCAGACAUGGCACCGUUUGGCACGCCAUGCUGUGGUGGGUGUCCCACAUAUAAAGUAGAGGAAGAUGGGCACAGAUGUUAGCUCAGGGCCAGUCUUCCUCAGCAAAAAGAGGGGGAUUGGCAGCAGAUGUUAGCUCAGGGCUAAUCUUCCUCAGAAAAAAAAGAGAAUUAAUUAAAAACGAAAAAGAAUCUAAUGGAAGAAAAAAAGUCUUUGGGGGUUGCCUAACACUUCUAAAUCCAAGCCCCUUAUCUUGAAACCGCAGCCCUUGGUGAUCAGGCCUUCCUGGGGAGACAGAACCCAGUGACCAGGGCAGCAAGAAUGGAGACACAUGGGAAUCCCACUUCCUUUCACUUACCCGGGCGACAGAACAGAAUUUCUGGUGGAACCCUAUUCUGAGAAAUGGCUCAGGCUUGGGAACGGCCAUGGUUUUGAUGGGCAAAAUAUUCUCCAAGCCUUCCCAAAAGGAGCCUUGGCAUGCCUUGGGGACAUGUAGUCACAGAUGGAGGGAGCCUUGCUGCUCUGCUCCCUAAGCUUGAGACCUAGGGAGGCACAGCAGCCCAGGCAGGAGCCCCAACAUUGGCCUAAUAGGGGGCCCCCCGCCAACAAGAGCAUCGAGAUAUGGUUACUCGUGGUUGAGUCAGAUGUUAAUGGCCCACCUGGAUCAGACGCUGUUCCCCACCGCUGUAGCCACAGAUCAUUCUCAGAUGUCACCCUCAAUCCGUGGACUUGACCAAGCACAGGACAACGGCCCCAUGGGUCCUUGCCCGAGCUUUCUCCUCUCAGGUCAAGUUCCCAGACUUCAGUCCAAACUGACUCAAAGAUUGCCACAAUUUUAUAAGGGAGGGCUAGAAUGGAAUAGACGACUUCUGAGAACAUUUCCAGCUUUAAAAACUUCUCUGAAUUUCUCCAAAAGUCUGCACAGCUGGACUCG
rnacentral:lncRNA from 1 species